rnacentral:rRNA from 1 species
AGGGAAAAAUUGACGAAGUCUGACGGAGCACGCCGCGUGAGUGAUGAAGGUUUUCGGAUCGUAAAACUCUGUUGUUAGGGAAGAACAAGUACCGUUCGAAUAGGGCGGUACCUUGACGGUACCUAACCAGAAAGCCACGGCUAACUACGUGCCAGCAGCCGCGGUAAUA